rnacentral:rRNA from 1 species
UGAGGAAUCUUCCACAAUGGGCGAAAGCCUGAUGGAGCAACGCCGCGUGCAGGAUGAAGGCCCUCGGGUCGUAAACUGUCUUUUAUAAGUGAAGAAUAUGACGGUAACUUAUGAAUAAGCACCGGCUAACUACGUGCC